GACCGGCGCACGGGUGCGUAACGCGUAUGCAACCUACCUCUUACUGGGGAAUAGCCCCGAGAAAUCGGGAUUAAUACCCCAUAACAUCAUUGAAUCGCAUGGUUUGAUGAUUAAAGUUUCGACGGUAAGAGAUGGGCAUGCGUGACAUUAGUUUGUUGGUGAGGUAACGGCUCACCAAGACUACGAUGUCUAGGGGUUCUGAGAGGAUAUUCCCCCACACUGGUACUGAGACACGGACCAGACUCCUACGGGAGGCAGCAGUAAGGAAUAUUGGGCAAUGGACGAAAGUCUGACCCAGCCAUGCCGCGUGCAGGAUGACUGCCCUAUGGGUUGUAAACUGCUUUUGUACAGGAAGAAACUUCCCGACGUGUCGGGGACUGACGGUACUGUACGAAUAAGCACCGGCUAACUCCGUGCCAGCAGCCGCGGUAAUACGGAGGGUGCAAGCGUUAUCCGGAUUUAUUGGGUUUAAAGGGUGCGCAGGCGGAAUGAUAAGUCAGUGGUGAAAUCUUCCCGCUCAACGGGGAAACUGCCAUUGAUACUGUCGUUCUUGAGUACAGUUGAAGUGGGCGGAAUGUAUCAUGUAGCGGUGAAAUGCAUAGAUAUGAUACAGAACGCCGAUAGCGAAAGCAGCUCACUAAACUGUAACUGACGCUCAGGCACGAAAGCGUGG
rnacentral:rRNA from 1 species